CGUAACAAGGUUUCCGUAGGUGAACCUGCGGAAGGAUCAUUAUCGAGUUUUGACCGGGUUGUAGCUGGCCUUCCGAGGCAUGUGCACGCCCUGCUCAUCCACUCUACACCUGUGCACUUACUGUGGGCUUCAGAUUGCGAGGCACGCUCUUUACCGGGCUUGCGGAGCAUAUCUGUGCCUGCGUUUAUCACAAACUCUAUAAAGUAACAGAAUGUGUAUUGCGAUGUAACACAUCUAUAUACAACUUUCAGCAACGGAUCUCUUGGCUCUCGCAUCGAUGAAGAACGCAGCGAAAUGCGAUAAGUAAUGUGAAUUGCAGAAUUCAGUGAAUCAUCGAAUCUUUGAACGCACCUUGCGCUCCUUGGUAUUCCGAGGAGCAUGCCUGUUUGAGUGUCAUGAAAUCUUCAACCUACAAGCUUUUGUGGUUUGUAGGCUUGGACUUGGAGGCUUGUCGGCCGUUAUCGGUCGGCUCCUCUUAAAUGCAUUAGCUUGGUUCCUUGCGGAUCGGCUCUCGGUGUGAUAAUGUCUACGCCGUGACCGUGAAGCGUUUGGCGAGCUUCUAACCGUCUUAUAAGACAGCUUUAUGACCUCUGACCUCAAAUCAGGUAGGACUACCCGCUGAACUUAAGCAUAUCAA
rnacentral:rRNA from 1 species